rnacentral:rRNA from 1 species
AGAGUUUGAUCCUGGCUCAGGAUGAACGCUGGCGGCGUGCCUAAUACAUGCAAGUCGAACGCGAGCACUUGUGCUCGAGUGGCGAACGGGUGAGUAAUACAUAAGUAACCUGCCCUAGACAGGGGGAUAACUAUUGGAAACGAUAGCUAAGACCGCAUAGGUACGGACACUGCAUGGUGACCGUAUUAAAAGUGCCUCAAAGCACUGGUAGAGGAUGGACUUAUGGCGCAUUAGCUGGUUGGCGGGGUAACGGCCCACCAAGGCGACGAUGCGUAGCCGACCUGAGAGGGUGACCGGCCACACUGGGACUGAGACACGGCCCAGACUCCUACGGGAGGCAGCAGUAGGGAAUCUUCGGCAAUGGACGAAAGUCUGACCGAGCAACGCCGCGUGAGUGAAGAAGGUUUUCGGAUCGUAAAACUCUGUUGUUAGAGAAGAACAAGGACGUUAGUAACUGAACGUCCCCUGACGGUAUCUAACCAGAAAGCCACGGCUAACUACGUGCCAGCAGCCGCGGUAAUACGUAGGUGGCAAGCGUUAUCCGGAUUUAUUGGGCGUAAAGCGAGCGCAGGCGGUUUUUUAAGUCUGAUGUGAAAGCCCUCGGCUUAACCGAGGAAGCGCAUCGGAAACUGGGAAACUUGAGUGCAGAAGAGGACAGUGGAACUCCAUGUGUAGCGGUGAAAUGCGUAGAUAUAUGGAAGAACACCAGUGGCGAAGGCGGCUGUCUGGUCUGUAACUGACGCUGAGGCUCGAAAGCAUGGGUAGCGAACAGGAUUAGAUACCCUGGUAGUCCAUGCCGUAAACGAUGAAUGCUAGGUGUUGGAGGGUUUCCGCCCUUCAGUGCCGCAGCUAACGCAUUAAGCAUUCCGCCUGGGGAGUACGACCGCAAGGUUGAAACUCAAAGGAAUUGACGGGGGCCCGCACAAGCGGUGGAGCAUGUGGUUUAA